rnacentral:rRNA from 1 species
GAUGAACGUUAGCUACAGGCCUAACACAUGCAAGUCGAGGGGAAACGAUAUUGGAAGCUUGCUUCCGAUAGGCGUCGACCGGCGCUCGCGUGAGUAACGCGUAUUCAACCUGCCCACCACUUGGGGAUAACCUUGCGAAAGUAGGACUAAUCCCCAAUGAUAUCCCAAGAAGACAUCUGAACGAGAUUAACGAUUUAUCGGUGCUGGAUGGGGAUGCGCCUGAUUAGCUUGUUGGCGGGGUAACGGCCCACCAAGGCGACGAUCAGUAGGGGUUCUGAGAGGAAGGUCCCCCCCAUUGGAACUGAGACAAGGUACAAACUCCGACGGGAGGCAUCAGUUAGGAAUAUUGAGCAAUGGGCGAGAGCCUGAACCAGCCAAGUAGCGUGCAGGAUGACGGCCCUAUGGGUUGUAAACUGCUUUUAUAAGGGAAUAAAGUGAGCCUCGUGAGGCUUUUUGCAUGUACCUUAUGAAUAAGGACCGGCUAAUUCCGUGCCAGCCGCCGCAGUAA